AGCUUUAUCAAUUUAUAUAUACUUAUCACAAUGCAAGAAUUCCUCUGGCCGCUCCUACCAUCAUGACCUCUGGCCAUAAUAUGAUUUAUCUCCACGCUGGCAGAAACUAACCAAGCCCCAUUCGACCUAACAGAAAGGGAAGCAGUUAGUCUUGGGCUUUAACGCUGAAUAUGCUGCAGGCCCAUUUGCCCUUCAAUACUCAAAAUAUAUUCUAAAUAAGUGAG
rnacentral:lncRNA from 1 species